rnacentral:rRNA from 1 species
GAGUUUGAACCUGGCUCAGGAUGAACGCUGGCGGCGUGCCUAACACAUGCAAGUCGAGCGAAGCGCGCCCCGGAAUCCUUCGGGAGGAAGGGUCGCGACUGAGCGGCGGACGGGUGAGUAACGCGUGGGCAACCUGCCCCAUACAGGGGGACAACGGCCGGAAACGGCCGCUAAUACCGCAUGAUUCCUCUUGGCCGCAUGGCCGGGAGGGGAAAGCCGAGACGGUAUGGGAUGGACCCGCGUCUGAUUAGCUGGUUGGCGAGGUAACGGCUCACCAAGGCGACGAUCAGUAGCCGGCCUGAGAGGGCGACCGGCCACAUUGGGACUGAGACACGGCCCAAACUCCUACGGGAGGCAGCAGUGGGGAAUAUUGCACAAUGGGGGAAACCCUGAUGCAGCGACGCCGCGUGAAGGACGAAGUAUUUCGGUACGUAAACUUCUAUCAGCAGGGAAGAAAAUGACGGUACCUGACCAAGAAGCCCCGGCUAACUACGUGCCAGCAGCCGCGGUAAUACGUAGGGGGCAAGCGUUAUCCGGAUUU